rnacentral:lncRNA from 1 species
CCGGUAUAAAUAUGUUAGAAUAUAGUUUAGCCAAAGUCCAGUGGCAAAUAUAACAAACACUUUUCGAGAACAUGUUUUAACAAGUAAUAAAAUAAGUAAUGUUAAUACAGUGAAUGGAGCAGGAUGGAGUGUAAAAACUUUGAAUAGUCACGUGGGGCGGAGUGGAUUUGUAUCAGGCUACAAAAAAAAACAGACAACUCAAAGAGUUUGUACAAUGUUCCG